GGUCAUAGCUCAGAGGUAGAGCACUCGCCUCAUGCGUUAGGGCCCUGGGUUCAAUCCUAAGCACCA
rnacentral:tRNA from 1 species